GAUUGAUUUAUGGGGAAGGACGGGCUUCCUUUGUCCCAGCAGCCUCGUCCUCGGGAUGGGGGAAGUGGGCUCCCACAGCGGCCAGGCUCUUCCUCAGACACCGAGAACCCUAAGACAGCAAGCGCUGGCUGGCUGCUCCUUCAGGGAGCCCACGACCACUGCCGAAGCUGCGCGGGCCCGACAGCGGGCAGGGAGGCCGUGCCCUGGGCAGCCAUCAACUGAGCCUCGCCGUCAGGCUGUGGGGGCAGGCCGCAGCGAAGGUCAAGCCCUCCCCCCGGACUGCCUGCUGUGGGACCUACAACCGGCGUGGGUGGGACGUAAACGCGUGGGGCCACCAGGCAGAGCAGGGCGAGGCCCCUGAACAAGCCGAAAUCGGGACGUGGAAGAGACAGCCCCACACUCCUGUGACCCUGCUCACCGUAGCUAAGACCUGACAGCAGCCUGGCUGUCCCCGGGGAGGAACGAUCCAUGUCUGAGGCGGCAGGCAAGCCCAUGGCCCUGGUCUGAUCUUCACACGGGGAAUGCACGAGUUAGAAUGCAACACUGGGACUGGCGUCAUGGCGUAGCAGCUGAAGCCGCCACCUGUGAUGCCAGCAUCCCAUUUGGAUGCUGGUUCAAGUCCCGGCUGCUCCACUUCCAAUCCAGCUCCCUGCUAAGGCACCUGGGAAAGCAGUAGAAGAUGGCCCAAGUCCUUGGACCCCUGCACCCACAUGGGAGACCUGGAAGAAGCUCCUGGCUCCUGGCUUUGGCCUGGCCCAGCCCUGACUGUUGCAGACAUUUGGGGAGUGAGCCAGUGGAUGAAGGUUCCCUGUCUCUCCUCGCUCUUGUAACUCUGUCUUUCGAAUAAAUAAAUAAGCCUCUAAA